UACGUAGGGGGCAAGCGUUGUCCGGAUUUACUGGGCGUAAAGCGCAUGUAGGCGGCAGCGCAAGUCGGGCGUGAAAUCCCACGGCUCAACCGUGGAAGUGCACUCGAAACUGCGCAGCUAGAGUCCUGGAGAGGAAGGUGGAAUGCUUGGUGUAGAGGUGAAAUUCGUAGAUAUCAAGCGGAACACCGGUGGCGAAGGCGGCCUUCUGGACAGUGACUGACGCUGAGAUGCGAAAGCGUGGGGAGCAAACAGG
rnacentral:rRNA from 1 species